GUUCUAAGAUUCCAGGAGGCAGGAUCACCAUUUUGGACUGAGGUUGAGUGACAAUCUGUCCAUUAGCCUUGCAAGCCUCCCUCUUCAGGAUUUCUUUUUUUCUGAUCAGAGAUCCUUGAGCCUUCGGUGCGGGAUGGUGCGGGAUGAUACAGGUGUUCUGUUUCUAGGUGCCCCCUCUUUCGUCCUAUGACAUUGUCGGCCUAAGGCGCUCCGGGAUGAACAGAGCUACUUCGUAUUUUACUUGCCUCUGCAUAUUUCAAAGAUGUCAAUCUCUUCAUGAAUUUAUCCUAACAACGGCAGCUGUCCUGUGUGAUUGACAGAAUCCGUGGCCAAAUCCUCCCCAGUGUUAUCUUCCUGGUGGUCCAUCUCCCACACCCUCCUUUUAUUCUGGACACUCCUGUCUUUUUGUGGGGACACAGGACAGCCUCAGCACAGAGAGACUAGAAGCUGGUCAACAGAUUCUGUGUGUCAGAGCUGGCAGUAUGUGGCUGCCCUCCCUGCCUGGACUCUCUAAUCACGGUACUGCCUCACCCUCAAAACGUUGAGAGUGUCUUUCCCGAGUCCUUCCGUGUCCCAGCCCCAAGCAUAAUUAAUAGGCGUUUUGUUGUGGGAAGCGGGAGACUCCCGUUCUGUGGCCACCCUCCCUGGCAUACCCAGGGUGUAGCUCCCUCUGCUUUGGCAUGAGAUUCCGACACCAGCCUCAGCCACUCCACCAGCCCAGCCCUAAAAUGUCCAUUCUGUCUCUACUUCAUGUGGCACAAGUUUCUACAAACCUGGAAGGCCAAAGGACCUCCUGAAGGAAAAACAUGGCCCUGGA